rnacentral:rRNA from 1 species
GAUGAACGCUGGCGGCGUGCCUAAUACAUGCAAGUCGAGCGAACGGACGAGAAGCUUGCUUCUCUGAUGUUAGCGGCGGACGGGUGAGUAACACGUGGAUAACCUACCUAUAAGACUGGGAUAACUUCGGGAAACCGGAGCUAAUACCGGAUAAUAUUUUGAACCGCAUGGUUCAAAAGUGAAAGACGGUCUUGCUGUCACUUAUAGAUGGAUCCGCGCUGCAUUAGCUAGUUGGUAAGGUAACGGCUUACCAAGGCAACGAUGCAUAGCCGACCUGAGAGGGUGAUCGGCCACACUGGAGCUGAGACACGGUCCAGACUCCUACGGGAGGCAGCAGUAGGGAAUCUUCCGCAAUGGGCGAAAGCCUGACGGAGCAACGCCGCGUGAGUGAUGAAGGUCUUCGGAUCGUAAAACUCUGUUAUUAGGGAAGAACAUAUGUGUAAGUAACUGUGCACAUCUUGACGGUACCUAAUCAGAAAGCCACGGCUAACUACGUGCCAGCAGCCGCGGUAAUACGUAGGUGGCAAGCGUUAUCCGGAAUUAUUGGGCGUAAAGCGCGCGUAGGCGGUUUUUUAAGUCUGAUGUGAAAGCCCACGGCUCAACCGUGGAGGGUCAUUGGAAACUGGAAAACUUGAGUGCAGAAGAGGAAAGUGGAAUUCCAUGUGUAGCGGUGAAAUGCGCAGAGAUAUGGAGGAACACCAGUGGCGAAGGCGACUUUCUGGUCUGUAACUGACGCUGAUGUGCGAAAGCGUGGGGAUCAAACAGGAUUAGAUACCCUGGUAGUCCACGCCGUAAACGAUGAGUGCUAAGUGUUAGGGGGUUUCCGCCCCUUAGUGCUGCAGCUAACGCAUUAAGCACUCCGCCUGGGGAGUACGACCGCAAGGUUGAAACUCAAAGGAAUUGACGGGGACCCGCACAAGCGGUGGAGCAUGUGGUUUAAUUCGAAGCAACGCGAAGAACCUUACCAAAUCUUGACAUCCUUUGACAACUCUAGAGAUAGAGCUUUCCCCUUCGGGGGACAAAGUGACAGGUGGUGCAUGGUUGUCGUCAGCUCGUGUCGUGAGAUGUUGGGUUAAGUCCCGCAACGAGCGCAACCCUUAAGCUUAGUUGCCAUCAUUAAGUUGGGCACUCUAAGUUGACUGCCGGUGACAAACCGGAGGAAGGUGGGGAUGACGUCAAAUCAUCAUGCCCCUUAUGAUUUGGGCUACACACGUGCUACAAUGGACAAUACAAAGGGCAGCGAAACCGUGAGGUCAAGCAAAUCCCAUAAAGUUGUUCUCAGUUCGGAUUGUAGUCUGCAACUCGACUACAUGAAGCUGGAAUCGCUAGUAAUCGUAGAUCAGCAUGCUACGGUGAAUACGUUCCCGGGUCU